rnacentral:tmRNA from 1 species
GGGGCUGACUGGCUUUGACAGCGUGUAGAACCGGUUUGUAAGCAUGUAGUGCUUAGUUGCCUGGCACUAUAAUCCUAGACUUCAAAAAUUUUAGUUGGCGAAAAUAAUUACGCUCUCGCUGCCUAACCGAAGCACAGUAAGUUAGUUGCUUUAUCCCCGCGAUAGUCGCAGGGACGAGACGUCACCCGGACACCAAUGUCCUGAGGUAAUCCGAUCCGGUGACGCACGUAAAUCGGGGCCUCUGUCAGUCAUUCUCUCGGACUGUACAGUGUAUUAGAGAGAUAGAUCAAUGGGUGGUCACUAACCGAUCUUAUUCCAAACAAAUCAGGUGUGAAUAAACAUGUAGAAAGCGAAUUGUUUCCGCGUUUGGACGAGGGUUCAACUCCCUCCAGCUCCACUG